rnacentral:tRNA from 1 species
GGAGAGAUGGCCGAGUUGGUCGAAGGCGCACGAUUGGAAAUCGUGUAGGCGGCAAAACCGUCUCGAGGGUUCGAAUCCCUCUUUCUCCGCCA